UAUUUUCCCUUCCCUUACGUCUAAUAUUGUAGCAGGACUCGGGUGGCUGCCAUGCUGACGGGGUCCAGUUUCCUGCGCUAACUGAGCUGUGGUUAGUGGGGUGAACUAUCCCCUAUCAGUUUCUGGUACAGAUACAAUGGCAGUCCGACUGAAAACACAACAGCCGAAGCCAUAGUAUGAACUGAAUAGGUAGGCACAGCUCAAAGCUCAGUGUUCCCAUGUUAACCUUCAGCUUCGCUAGAUUAGCUUUGCCACCAUGGUGAAAAAGGUUCUUGGCAUCUUGACAAACUGAUCCUUGCUAUUUAUCUCCAUACAUCUCCACUGUGGCAAGCAUUGUUAAGAAGGUGAUAGCAGCCAAUCUCAUAAGUGAGUUAUCUUCAUCAAGUUGCUUACCUGCCUGACCGAUCAGAUGUAGGUCCUCCUCAGCUAAGUUGGGAUGUCAUUUAGAUAGAGAGCCAUUUGAAGCGCCUAGAUGAGGAUUUGAACUAGUUUGCAGAAGACUUAAAGCAAGAAGCAAAGAUUCCACCGGAUGAAACAGCUAUUCUUCCUCCACUUCCUAUAGUGAAUAAGGAUGAAAAAUGCAAGGGAGGUUAUUUAACUCCUUAACCAAAGAGGUUCAGAGAAAGGGAUUGGGAUGGAGACCGGGAUAUGGAUAUAAAACUUAUGCCUCCUCCAGAUAGUGAUAGAAAAAAUAUUCCAGCAUCUGCUGACGUUGAUCAACCUAUUGACCCAAAUGAGCCAACAUAUUGUGUCUGCCAUCAGGUGUCAUUUGGAGAUAUGAUCGCAUGUGACAAUGAAAAUUGUGAAGGAGGUGAAUGGUUCUAUUAUUCAUGUGUCGGACUCACUCCAGAAACAAGAUUUAAGGGGAAGUGGUUCUGCCCAACCUGUCGGAAUCAACAAUGAAUUCUAGAAUAGUUGGCCUGGGUAGAAAGAGGUGUUCUCCUACGAGUUCAACAACCCAUCAGCAAUAGCCAAUUUUUUUUCUUUUUCCUGCAAGAUUCUUAAGCUGUGGGAAACACCUUGUUGUAUCGAUGUAUAUUGCGCGAUAGUUAAGUGGCAUCUUCUCACUGAAGAAGCUCUUUUCUGAAACGACAUGAGCAUAACUGUGCCGGUUAUGUUUGGCACCAGCACUGGUUUUCUGCUUGUCCAGAAAUUAUCAUAGAUGUUGGCCCAAUUUCUUUCUUCAAUUAUGGCAAAACUGUGCUCGACUUAAAUGUAGUCGAUGUAUG